ensembl:lncRNA
GCGCUGGCAGCGGCAGCCCCCGGGCCCUUGGGAUAGUCUCCGUGACCGUGACCGCAGGAGCGAGACUCUGGUGGCGGCACUGACCGGGGAGGGAGGCGACACUGCCCUUCCCUCCGCAGGUCGCAGUCUCCUCCAGUAACCAGUGGUCUUCUCCAGUAGCCCGUGGUCUGCUCCCACCGGGAACCCCUUCCCCUAUCUCCUCGGCUACUCUAGGGCAUCCGAAGAUGAAAAGCCGCUAUCAAGGUCCCCAACCUCGUUUUCUUCUUCUAACUAUCCCGCAUUUCCUCUGGGCUGCUUGGACGCGGUCGCCAGCGCCGGCUCCAUCUAAACCCCUCUGUGAUAACCCACCCCAGGUUGGGCACCUCUCCGGGCGUGGGCAUUAUCUCAAAGGGGAAACAGCCGUGGUUCGUCACGUUUCCUUUUAACAAGGGCCGUCUGUGGUUGGUGGUGCGGCUGUCCUUCGAGGAGGAGGGAACAGAGUAAGGAAACCCCGCGCCGGCCUGCGUGAGGGGUCGCAGGGCGCAGGGAGGAUGGAGCCUGGCGGGGACCAGCCACCUCGGCCCCGAACCCACAGACUCCACUGGCGGCUCCGGAGAAGGCUGUGAACAGAGCGCAGAAAGUCUUCCUGGAGACCAAGGGUGCGCCUACGACGGAGACUCCGUCAUCUUUCCUUUGGCUUCUAAGUGGGGACGAAUAUAUAUAUUCACAGGCGAAGAAUUUCUACACCCCACCCUAGUUCAACGAGGAUAGUGCUGUGUGCAGGAACGAUUACUCUCUGCUUCUGUGCUUCGGAUGACAGCGCACCUCGGUGCACUUUCACAGAGGGUGAAAGAGGCCUAAAUUACUUCAGUGAGCGCUCUGAGCCUAUUUUUGAAAUGAAGACAUGCCAAAACAGUUACAAGAAUUCGAAUGGUGGUGUGUUUUAAAGAUCCUUUAAUAAACCAAUGCUCUUGACAUGUAUGCACAAAUUCAGUGACCCCAUGUGGGUACUCAUCUGGAGAUGAUGCCCAAAGGCCAUAUGUGAGGCCCUUGAUGUCCAUGAGGCCAGAAACAAAUGGUGUUUCUGCUCCUUGCCCACCCUAAGAGGGGCUCUGUGCCUGCGAAAGCCCAGGAAUGGGAGAGGAAGUAGCCUGAGAGAGUGGGUGGGGGAUUAAACCUGCGCCAGGGGUGUAGUACGCAUGCUCAGUCGAUUUCCACUCUGUGACCCCAUGGACUGUAGCCCACCAGACUCCUCUGUCCAUGGAAUUCUCCAGGCAAGAAUAGUGAAGUGAGCUGCCAUUUCCUUCUCCAGGAGAUUUUCCCGACCCAGGGAUGGAACUCAUAUUUCCUGUGUCUCCUGCGUUGGCAGGUGGAUUCUUUACCCAAGGGCUAAAGAAACUCUCCUUGAAACCAGGGUCAUAUGGGGACCCAGACUGAGUACUUCACCUUCUUCAUGCCUCCUCACCCAUUUUUAAGCUGAAAAAUGUUGAAAGAGGGUAUAAAGAGAACAAAGAUAAAAACAGAGUUCUAAAGAAGAAAGUCACCAGUGAGUGCACGUGGAAAGCAGGAACGCAUUACAGCAUGCCCUCUGAAGAGGCUUCCUUCCUGCCCCUCUCCCUCCCUUCCUUCUCAACUUUCUGAGUUGAAACCAAGAGGCAAAGAACAGCAUUCAUCCCAAACAAGUAGUUUAGUUUUUCGUGUUUGGUAUUUAUUGACAUCUUGGAAUGCCAUGCCUCAUCCACAUUUCCAUGUGGCCUCUCUUAAUGCAUAAACAGAAAAAAGGAUGCCAAAGAUCGCAUAUACUUGUCAGACAGCAAAUCCCAGCGUUCUGUUUUCUGCCUAUAUUGGGGGGAUGGGGGAACACCCCCAAGACCAUAUGUUCAUUCACUAACAAGAGGCUUGCCAUCUUAUAAUCAAUGAAAUUAGUUAGAUGGUGCAAGUCAAAAAUCGUUUUGAAAUAUUAAGAAUUAAAUCUAUGACACUUUAUUUUUAGAUUUCUGAGAAAUACAUUUCUGACUUGAUGCUCAGGCUCUACCACACCCACUACUAGAAAAGAAAGAAAAAGAGGCAUUCUCUCCCUUCUAGUCUAUUCUCCCGCCCUCCCCACUGUGAAUCACGUGUAGAAGAAACCGUCACGGUUACGGUCACACAGGUUUGGCUCUCUAACCUUCAGCUGUGUCUGCGGGCGACCCAGUUGCCGGUCAUUUAACCUGCCUGGAUGGAUGAGCUCGUUAGCAAGCAGCCCCAGGGGCUUUUUCUAUUGGCGGGUCUCCCAGACGCCAGUCCUCUUCACCCGCUGAGAUUAACAGGCCCUCGGUGUCCCGCAGAGAGAGUCCUCGCGUUUCCAGGAGGAGAACUUGAACGCGCGGUGGGAGCAGUCAUUCCGAGCAACCCGCUGACCUUCAGAGGGAGCCACUUGUGAAGAAACCCCCCAGAUCAACGCUGAAUAGAAUAGAGCAACAUUUUCUGAAUUCUUCUAACCACUGGAGUCUUGCAGGGAUCAAGAGCACCCCAGGACUCUUCUAUUUGUUGAAACUCUCAGAAUAUUUUUUUAAAAUUUAUAAACGCCAAAUAGCUACAAAUUGUAGAAUAUUUUUAAUGUUUACAUUAAAUUACACAUUCACAAAGCAACAUAAUUGGGUUGCUUUCAGAAGACGUCCUCAGAAGCCUAAAUGUAAGACUCAUUGUGAAUUUGUCAAAAUCCAGUCAAAACCUUUGAUACCAUUUCCCUUCAGAGAAACUUCUAGCCCAAUUAUCAUCACUCUUCUUAUCUAGCUUUCAAC